rnacentral:lncRNA from 1 species
GGACCUAAACUUGUGGGAUGAAAACUUGAUCUGAAGUCUAAGUUGUUAACGGAUACGAUAUGGGAAGGUUGAGCUGCUGUUUAUCUGUUCCUAGAGAUGCUAGAAUUCUGGAGAAUUUUAUCUUUGAAAAUCUUUAAAAUUUUGCAUGAUGAGUUCCUGUAUGAUGAGAGUUUAAAUUCCUACCACAGCCAUAUAUACAUGCUUGCUAGACUUUGAGCCACACAUUUAAUAUUUACUACUUAUGAGUAUUGAGUGUGGUCAAGCUGUGUAGACCCUUAUGAGCUUGUCAUGUGGUUAAAUCAAGGUUUCACUUGCACGUUCACUCAUAUAUGCUACUUCUACUCCGGAAGUACCAUCCACAUAUAUCUAUCCAUUUCCAUCUCCAGAAUCACCCAAAAAUAUUCUACUCCUAAUUUGGGAGAGAAUAACCAAAAAUAUUUCUGUUUUUCCCUUGUGAAAUAAAUGCUCAAGUUAUCUUGUUACUACCACUUGCUAUAUUAUCUCAAGAGAUGAAUGCUCUAAAAAAGAGAGAAAGAAAUAUAUAUACGAGGAAAUAAAAAGGAGCAAGUGCUCGAAACCUCGAAAGAAAAGAAAAAGUGAGACGAGAGGUAAAAAUGGACAAGUGUCCGACAGUAGAAUUAGGGGUACAAGACACCCACCUGAGAGAAAAGAAAAGAAAAAGAAGAGCAUCUCAUUCUCGUCAUAAAGUUUCAAAAGCAAGGAAGGUAUGUAUCCCCUCAAAGAGCAAAGUAGAAUUAGACUUCCACCACCAUUGUUUCCACCAUUGUUAUCACCAUUAUCACCAUACACCAUUCAUUCGCCACACAUGCACAUCUUGAUUAAACUUAUUGAUUUGUUUCUUUGGAUCCAUGGUUUGACUAUGCAAUAAAUGUCUUGUAAGUAUGUAUACUUUAUCUCCCACCUAUGAGCUCCAGAUAUUAAAGCCUUAUUAGAGUAGGAUGAGAGAGAAGGUAAUGUCACUAUGCUUUACACCACAAAUACUACAUAUCUUGAGAGAAGGCAUAUACCAUUACUGCCUUGGUAAGGAUCCAGAAAUACCACAAAAGAGAGAUCUGAGCGAAUCAUACAAGGAAUCUCUGAGUUUUAUUUGAAAAUCUGCAAAAACACCAGAGCUAUAGCUGA